rnacentral:lncRNA from 1 species
CAUGACUCUAAUAGUAUACGGAUUCAUAUUUCCAAAAUAUCCACUUGAUCUCUAUGGUUAUAGGAGAGACCCAUGAAAAUGGAAAGCUACAGAAUGAACUCUUUGCUGACGUGUGAACUGGAUAUUAAGCCCCUUCUUUUGUCCACUUUGUCUUUGUGAAAACUGUCUAUCUUCUAAAGCAACAUGGCCAACAUGGCUACACGUCAGCGGAACCUAACACCAUGCUGAGAAGAUGACUCUGGGAAACUUUAAGAUGAUUCUCAAAUGAGCUGG